rnacentral:rRNA from 1 species
UCGACCUUAGUUGCCAGCAUUCAGUUGGGCACUCUAAGGUGACUGCCGGCUAAAAGUCGGAGGAAGGUGGGGAUGACGUCAAAUCAUCAUGCCCCUUAUGACCUGGGCUACACACGUGCUACAAUGGGCGGUACAAAGGGUCGCGAACCCGCGAGGGGGAGCCAAUCCCAAAAAGCCGCUCUCAGUUCGGAUUGCAGGCUGCAACUCGCCUGCAUGAAGCCGGAAUCGCUAGUAAUCGCGGAUCAGCAUGCCGCGGUGAAUACGUUCCCGGGCCCUU